AUUGAACGCUGGCGGCAGGCCUAACACAUGCAAGUCGGGCGGUAACACAGGGAGCUUGCUCCUGGGUGACGAGCGGCGGACGGGUGAGUAAUGUCUGGGAAACUGCCUGAUGGAGGGAGAUAACUACUGGAAACGGUAGCUAAUACCGCAUAACGUCGCAAGACCAAAGAGGGGGACCUUCGGGCCUCUUGCCAUCAGAUGUGCCCAGAUGGGAUUAGCUAGUAGGUGGGGUAACGGCUCACCUAGGCGACGAUCCCUAGCUGGUCUGAGAGGAUGACCAGCCACACUGGAACUGAGACACGGUCCAGACUCCUACGGGAGGCAGCAGUGGGGAAUAUUGCACAAUGGGCGCAAGCCUGAUGCAGCCAUGCCGCGUGUAUGAAGAAGGCCUUCGGGUUGUAAAGUACUUUCAGCGGGGAGGAAGGUGUUGUGGUUAAUAACCACAGCAAUUGACGUUACCCGCAGAAGAAGCACCGGCUAACUCCGUGCCAGCCGCCGCAGUAACAC
rnacentral:rRNA from 1 species